rnacentral:rRNA from 1 species
AGUCGCGCGGGAAUACGUAGGUGGCAAGCGUUAUCCGGAAUUAUUGGGCGUAAAGCGCGCGUAGGCGGUUUUUUAAGUCUGAUGUGAAAGCCCACGGCUCAACCGUGGAGGGUCAUUGGAAACUGGAAAACUUGAGUGCAGAAGAGGAAAGUGGAAUUCCAUGUGUAGCGGUGAAAUGCGCAGAGAUAUGGAGGAACACCAGUGGCGAAGGCGACUUUCUGGUCUGUAACUGACGCUGAUGUGCAAAAGCGUGGGGAUCAAACAGGAUUAGAUACCCCCGUAGUCCCUGUCUCUUAUACAC